rnacentral:rRNA from 1 species
UACGAAGGGGGCUAGCGUUGUUCGGAAUUACUGGCGUAAAGCGCGCGCAGGCGGUCUUCCAAGUCAGUGGUGAAAGCCCGGAGCUCAACUCCGGAAUUGCCAUUGAAACUGUUGGACUUGAGGAUGAGAGAGGUGAGUGGAAUUCCCAGUGUAGAGGUGAAAUUCGUAGAUAUUGGGAAGAACACCGGUGGCGAAGGCGGCCUUCAUGGACGAGUCGUA